GAUGGCAUAGAUGUCUGAUGGGGAGGAAAUCACCAGAAUCUUGUGGCUGAGGGGCUACCCUGUGACAGAAGACUGUAAUUUUGAACUCGCUGCAUCCUACAAAGCCCUACAUGAGUGGGAUCCUCCUCCCUCCCCCAACUACCUACGUCAUUUCCUACCACUCCUCCCCCUUCACUCUCUUCCAGCCACAUGGCCUCCUUGAUGUUCCUCAAAUGGACAGGCACACUCCCACCUCAGGGCCUUUGCAUGAACUGUGUCUCUGCCUGGUUCACUCCUCCUCCCAGACUUCUACAUGCCUCACUUUCUUACCUUUUUAAGUUUUGACUCAAAUGUCACCAUCUCAGGGAGACCUUCCCUGGCCUCCUUGUGUAAAACUGCAAUGCCCCAGACACUUCGAAUCUUUGCCUGCUUCAUUUUAUACCUUAGCACGUGUCAUUAUCUACCGUGCCAUAUGGUUUCCUUUUUUAUUUUGUUUAAUGCCUAGUGUGGGUAGAAUUGUGUCUCCCCAAAAGAUAUGUUCAAGUCCUAACCCCCAGGACCUGUGAAUAUGCCCUUGUUUGGAUAUAGUGUCUUUGUGGAUAUAAUCAGUUAAAAUGAGGUCACGCUGGAUGGAGGCAGGGGUGGGGAGGGGUGAUAAUCUGAUGCCUUUAUAACAAUAGAGGAAUAUGGACACAAACACAGAGAGAAAACCAUGAGAAAACCAAAACCAGAGAAAACCAAAAACAACAGAGAUACACUCAGGAAAGAAGGUGAUGUGAAGACAGAGGCAAAGAUUGAGUGAUCCAGGACUGCUCUGGUGGUGCUGUGGUUAAGAAUCCGCCUGCCGAUGCAAGGGACACAGGUUCGAGCCCUGGUCUGGGAAGAUCCCACAUGCUGCGGAGCAACUAAGCCCGUGCGCCACAACUACUGAGCCCGUGUGCCUAGAGCCCAUGCUCCACAACAAGAGAAGCCACCACAACGAGAAGCCCACGCACCGCAACAAAGAGUAGCCCCCGCUCGCCACAACUAGAGAAAGCCCGCGCACAGCAAGGAAGACCCAAUGUGGCCAAAAAUAAAUAAAACAAAUAAAUUUAUUUUUUUUAAAAAAAAGAUUGAGUGGAUCCUACGACAAGCCAAAGAGUGCCUGGGGCCACCAGAAGCUGGACAUGCUGUAUUCUUCGAGUGAUGCCUGGCCCAGGAGAGGCUCUCAAGACUGCAACUGCCAGAGCCUUAGUUAUCUGCACUGCUAAGGGAAGAAAAGCCAGGAACAGUCCCUAUAAGGAAUCCAGGCCUUUUCUUCCUGGAGAGGUUUGUGGAACAUAAAAGACGGUGAAUGAAAACAACGACGAGGACGAUGGUGGUGGCCGCCACCGCACACUGUGUUUGUCCGUGCCAGGCAAUGUUUGAGCAUUUGCCCUUAUCGGCCAGUGACACAAGAAAUCUGAUCUCUAGGGGAGCCAUGUAAUUUGGACAAAAUCAAGAGAUAAAUGGCAGGGC